rnacentral:rRNA from 1 species
GACGAACGCUGGCGGCGUGCUUAACACAUGCAAGUCGAACGAAGAGCGAUGGAAGCUUGCUUCUAUCAAUCUUAGUGGCGAACGGGUGAGUAACGCGUAAUCAACCUGCCCUUCAGAGGGGGACAACAGUUGGAAACGACUGCUAAUACCGCAUACGAUCUAAUCUCGGCAUCGAGGAAAGAUGAAAGGUGGCCUCUAUUUAUAAGCUAUCACUGAAGGAGGGGAUUGCGUCUGAUUAGCUAGUUGGAGGGGUAACGGCCCACCAAGGCGAUGAUCAGUAGCCGGUCUGAGAGGAUGAACGGCCACAUUGGGACUGAGACACGGCCCAGACUCCUACGGGAGGCAGCAGUGGGGAAUCUUCCGCAAUGGACGAAAGUCUGACGGAGCAACGCCGCGUGAGUGAUGACGGCCUUCGGGUUGUAAAGCUCUGUUAAUCGGGACGAAAGGCCUUCUUGCGAACAGUUAGAA